GACGAACGCUGGCGGCGUGCUUAACACAUGCAAGUCGAACGGAAAGGCCCUGCUUUUGUGGGGUGCUCGAGUGGCGAACGGGUGAGUAACACGUGAGUAACCUGCCCUUGACUUUGGGAUAACUUCAGGAAACUGGGGCUAAUACCGGAUAGGAGCUCCUGCUGCAUGGUGGGGGUUGGAAAGUUUCGGCUGUUGGGGAUGGACUCGCGGCUUAUCAGCUUCAUGGGGGGGUAGUGGCUUACCAAGGCUGUGACGGGUAGCCGGCCUGAGAGGGUUGCCGGCCACAGUGGGACUGAGAUACGGACCAGACGGCUACGGGAGGCAGCAGUGGGGAAUAUGGCAGAAUGGGCGGAAGCCUGAUGCAGAAACGCCGCGUGCGGGAUGACGGCCUUCGGGUUGUAAACCGCUUUCGCCUGUGACGAAGCGUGAGUGACGGUAAUGGGUAAAGAAGCACCGGCUAACUACGUG
rnacentral:rRNA from 1 species